CAGUCCGAUGUGGAUAAUGAUCUGGUUGGGGACUCCUGUGACACCAAUCAGGACAGUGGAAUUGUUCUGUGGAAGUGAGUUUUGUGAACCCUCCUAGCUCAACACGAUGGGGUCCCACAUUAAGACUCAAGGCUGGAUCAACUGGUCAGAUUCUGGAAGAAUAUCACCAAAAACAGACGUGUGUCACUUAGCCCUAGAGGCACCUGCAACCCAAGUUGGUUGAAUCUGCGGAUACGGAACCGCGGAUACAGAGGCCUGACUGUACUAGCUAAGGGAACUUAAACAUAUUUCCCAGUCUCUUGGCAUCUCAACUUCUUCAUCUGCAAAGAGGAGAUAAAUAAAUGCAUCGCGCAGGUUAUGGUGAAAAUUCAAGAUAAUGUAGAGUAACCAUGAGAGGUCUCAGACUCCAGGACACCUCUUGGAGGCAGGGCAGGCUCAUCUUCAGGUGGCCCCUCAGCCCAGAAAGUCAGAUGGACAGAGAAGGAGAGUUCUGAGAAGUCCUUUAGACCAGCACUGAGCCCAGCCUACAUACUCCCCUUGAGAAGGCGUGGCCCUGUUCACUUUGCCCUUCUCCCCAUGGCGUUCAGUGAUGGAGAUGGUCACCAGGACAGC
rnacentral:sRNA from 1 species